rnacentral:rRNA from 1 species
AAUAGAUACCCGGGUAGUCCUGGCCCUAAACGAUGGGGACUAGGUAGUCGGCCGGCAUGGGCUGACUGCCGGAGCCAAAGUGCUAAGUCCCCGCCUGGGGAGUAUGGCCGCAAGGCUGAAACUCAAAGGAAUUGACGGGGGCUCACACAAGCGGUGGAGCAUGUGGCUUAAUUCGAGGCUACGCGAAGAACCUUAUCCUGGGCUUGACAUGUGCGAAAGCGGGAGGAAGUACCCGCCGGAAACGGCCGGGGAACGGUACCCAGUCCGGAACCUUCCACAGGUGCUGCAUGGCUGUCGCCAGCUCGUGUCGUGAGAUGUCGGGUUAAGUCCCAUAACGAGCGAAACCCUUACCCCCAGUUGCCAGCCAACGGGACUCUGGGGGGACUGCCGGUGUCAAACCGGAGGAAGGUGGGGAUGACGUCAAGUCCUCAUGGCCUUUAUGCCCAGGGCUGCACACGUGCUACAAUGGCGUGCACAGAGGGAGGCGACUGCGCGAGCAGGAGCGGACCCCCCGAAAACACGCCCCAGUUCAGAUCGCGGGCUGCAACUCCG